rnacentral:rRNA from 1 species
CCUACGGGCGGCUGCAGUGAGGAAUAUUGGUCAAUGGGCGCUAGCCUGAACCAGCCAAGUAGCGUGAAGGAUGACUGCCCUAUGGGUUGUAAACUUCUUUUAUAUGGGAAUAAAGUGCAGUAUGUAUACUGCUUUGCAUGUACCUUAUGAAUAAGGAUCGGCUAACUCCGUGCCAGCAGCCGCGGUAAUACGGAGGAUUCGAGCGUUAUCCGGAUUUAUUGGGUUUAAAGGGAGCGUAGGCGGGUUGUUAAGUCAGUUGUGAAAGUUUGCGGCUCAACCGUAAAAUUGCAGUUGAUACUGGCAGCCUUGAGUACAGUAGAGGUAGGCGGAAUUCGUGGUGUAGCGGUGAAAUGCUUAGAUAUCACGAAGAACUCCGAUUGCGAAGGCAGCCUGCUGGACUGUAACUGACGCUGAUGCUCGAAAGUGUGGGUAUCAAACAGGAUUAGAUAUCCCAGUAGUC